rnacentral:rRNA from 1 species
GACGCUGGCGGCAGGCCUAACACAUGUCAAGUUCGAGGCGGCAGCGGGCAAAGUAGCUUGCUACUUUUGCCGGCGAGCGGCGGACGGGUGAGUAAUGCCUGGGAAAUUGCCCAGUCGAGGGGGAUAACAGUUGGAAACGACUGCUAAUACCGCAUACGCCCUACGGGGGAAAGCAGGGGACCUUCGGGCCUUGCGCGAUUGGAUAUGCCCAGGUGGGAUUAGCUAGUUGGUGAGGUAAUGGCUCACCAAGGCGACGAUCCCUAGCUGGUCUGAGAGGAUGAUCAGCCACACUGGAACUGAGACACGGUCCAGACUCCUACGGGAGGCAGCAGUGGGGAAUAUUGCACAAUGGGGGAAACCCUGAUGCAGCCAUGCCGCGUGUGUGAAGAAGGCCUUCGGGUUGUAAAGCACUUUCAGCGAGGAGGAAAGGUUGAUGCCUAAUACCUAUG